rnacentral:tRNA from 1 species
GCCUCGAUGGCGCACUAGGCAGCGCGUGAGUCUCAUAAUCUCAAGGUCGUGAGUUCGAUCCUCACUCGGGGCA